rnacentral:rRNA from 1 species
ACUGAAUAGAUACCCAGGUAGUCCACGCCCUAAACGAUGUCUACUAGUUGUCGGGUUUUAAUUAACUUGGUAAACGCAGCUAAACGCGUGAAAGUAGACCGCCUGGGGAGUACGGUCGCAAGAUUAAAACUCAAAGGAAUUGACGGGGACCCGCACAAGCGGUGGAUGAUGUGGAUUAAUUCGAUGCAACGCGAAAAACCUUACCUACCCUUGACAUGUACGGAAGCCACGAGAGAUCGAGGUGUGCUCGAAAGAGAACCGUAACACAGGUGCUGCAUGGCUGUCGUCAGCUCGUGUCGUGAGAUGUUGGGUUAAGUCCCGCAACGAGCGCAACCCUUGUCAUUAGUUGUUACGAAAGGGCACUCUAAUGAGACUGCCGGUGACAAACCGGAGGAAGGUGGGGAUGACGUCAAGUCCUCAUGGCCCUUAUGGGUAGGGCUUCACACGUCAUACAAUGGUACAUACAGAGGGCCGCCAACCCGCGAGGGGGUAGCUAAUCCCAGAAAGUGUAUCGUAGUCCGGAUUGUAGUCUGCAACUCGACUACAUGAA